ACGUCGGCGGCGUUGGUAUUAGGCAUGCCAGUCGAGCGAGAAUCUGUCUGUUGAUCCUUCGGGUGAUUCAGUCAGAGGAAAGCGGCAAACGGCGUAGUAAUGCGUAGGUACGUACCCUCAGAUCGGGAAUAGCCACGGGCAACUGUGGGUAAUGCCCGAUAAUGUCUGAUGACCAAAGGUGUGAUUCCGUCUGAGGAGCAGCUUACGUGAUAUUAGCUUGCUGGUGGGGUAAUGGCCUACCAGGGCGAUGAUGUCUAGGGGGUGUGAGAGCAUGGCCCCCACGACCGGAACUGAGAUACUGUCCGGACACCUACGGGUGGCUGCAGUCGAGAAUCUUCCGCAAUGGACGAAAGUCUGACGGAGCAACGCCGCGUGCGGGAUGAAGGCCCUUGGGUUGUAAACCGCUGUCANAGGGGAUGAAAUCACCGAUAGGCAAUCCUUUCCUGUUGACCAAGCCUCA
rnacentral:rRNA from 1 species